AGUGUACAGUCACCCACAGAUUCUCUCUUUUUCUAUCUCUGCACAUGGAAGAAUCUUCAAAGCUGCCGGAAAAUGACGUCAUUGCAUUGAUUCUGCCGGAGUUUCUAGUGGAAACUGACUUGGAAGCCGACCUCUCUCCAGAGUUUCCUAUCAAAGAAGAGAUGAUAGAGGAGGUAAUGCAAGAGUUGUACAAAGAGAUUACUUUCCCACCAUCAACAUGCACAGAGACAGCCAACUCAGGUUCACCCUUGCCGCCUCUGUCUCCGUUAUCGUGGUUAUCAUCUCCUUUUUUUGUUAACAGUGGGAAGAGUGAAAGCUGCGGGGCGUCAGUGUCAAACUCUGCAUCGUCAGUGAUGGCCGGAGUGGAGUUCGCCGGCAGUGUGUUAGGAAACGCAGGCGGAGAGAGCGUUGAGUUGAAAGAUAGUGAGGAGGAAGGAGAGGAGAGAAUGAUGGACCGCUGUGAUGGGGUUAAGUUCGGAGAUGAGUGGCUGGAGAAAGUGAUGGGAUGGGCCCCACUGGAGCUUGAAGGGUGGAGUUGAAUGAUGGGCAUGAUCUCGUGGGUCCUAAUGAAACUUCCGUACCAUGGAUUGAUAGGAUCAACGAAGGUUCGUGCAGUAGUUACUUUUAUUAUUAAAAAAAAAAAAAAAAACACGACUUUUUCUUGAAAUUGACUAUUCUGAGCCCUUAAUUAGGGUGAGGGCAUCUUGCUCGGUAGGAAGGGCAGGAAUAGCUCCUUUCUUGGUGGUUGUAAUGGCUCCGCAUGCAUUUGCAAACUUAAGUACUUCUCUCAAUCUUGGCUCAUCCUGAAAAUCGUAUACCAAACCCAAAUAUAUUUAGCAACUGAGACAACACUUACAUCAAACAAUGAUGUUUUCAAUACUUACUUGAAGAAUAGAUUGAUCAUACACAAUCUUUAAUAAUAGAGCUCCUACAAAUGAAUCACCAGCACCUGUUGUAUCCACAGUGUUGACAUGGAAAGCCUCCACUGAUCCAUGGAAAUUCUGUAUUUGAACAACCAAAUUUCAAAUCAAUUUAGAAUAUCUAACAGCCAAAGUUGACUGGGACCAUAAUAUAACCUCAAAUUCCUUGUAAUCCAGAUUAUAUUAAAUUUCAGACCUCGAUUGUAACUAAUAAUAGCCACUACCCUAUAUGCAUAGAGGCAAAAGAAAAAAUCAAAAGCAUUGCAUAUACUCUUCCUCAUUUAAAAUUCAAUGUGGGCCGAAGACCCACUCACCACCACGUGUAAAAUUGAAAAGUAGAUUUGGAGAUAGUUGAAGUUUUUUGACUCAAAUAAUGAUUAAAAUAAUGUUUUUCCUAUAAAUAAAAAGACCCACAAAUUAUUAUUUUAGAUUCUGAAAAACCAAGGCAACGCGUCCCAUGGAUUAGAUUAAGGGCCAAGAGCUUUCCUUUUUUAAGAAAUGAUUACAGGUCAAGAAUAUUAAACAUUCAUCAAAGAACACAUUGUAUAAAAUAUAUAAAUCCUACUGCAUAAACAUUUCCACUAAAAAAUAAGUUCAAGGUCUCCCACAAAUAGCAAAGCACUCACGCCCACCUAAGUACAUAAUUAAUAACCAUAAAUUGCACUCCUUGGUACCUACCCAUUCAACUAGAAGUCAGACUAUUGAUGGCAGUACACCUAACAAAAAUUAGUGAAAGAUAAGCAAAGUGAGAGAUCUAAACUAAAAUUACCUUGGUGUAAUAUCUGCAACCCUUCUCACCAAGGGUGACCAACAGCAACUUCAAGUUAGGAUGCCAAAGUGACAAGGCAUCAGCGUCAUCAAUUUUGUCACUUCCAGUGAGGAACUCAAGCUCUACAUCGCUGACUUUGAUCACCUCUGCCUUGUCCCAAAUGCUCAAUAUCUGCUCACGAGCUUCCUCGGGAGAAGGCCACAAUGGCAGCCUCAGAUUUGGGUCAUAAGAGAGCAGAGCUCCUGCUUCCUUGGCCGCUUCAAUUGCCUUGAGGUGUGCUGAUCUGCAUGGCUCCACUAUCAAGCUUAUUGAUCCAUAGUGGAAAACUCUGGCAGAUCUAAUAAGUUCAAGAUUCAGCUCUUCAGGUGUCAAAAGCAUGUCAGCGCUUGGAUUACGGUAGAACAUGAAUUCACGCUCGCCGUCAGCGCGUAGAGUCACGAACGCCAAAGCCGUCCUUGCUCCUUUGUCAAAGUUGAUACCGUCAGCGAUCACUCCAUUUUCCUUCAAGAUCCCAGCGAGCAUGUGGCCGAAUUCGUCAUCGCCGAGCUUACCAACGAAGGCAGCUUUCCCACCAAGCCUAGCGACGGCGAUUGCGACGUUGGCUGGGGCACCACCAGGAGCCUUCAGAAAACCAGGUGCCUCGGCUAAGGACACACCGGAGACGGUAGGGACGAAGUCGAUCAACAUCUCGCCGAAGCUGACUAUGAGGGAAGAGCCGGAGCUGUCAUUGGUCACAGCUGACGCCAUUGGAAUAAGAUUUUACUUGGGAGAAGAAAGAGAAAAUGAAGUCUUUCUUGAGAGAGCACGUUUGGAGGUUUUGAAGAGGAGAGAGAGGAGAAGAAGAAGGUAUAUAUAGAGGGAGAAUCGGAG
rnacentral:misc_RNA from 1 species